rnacentral:rRNA from 1 species
GUGGGGAAUCUUAGACAAUGGGGGAAACCCUGAUCUAGCCAUGCCGCGUGAGCGAUGAAGGCCUUAGGGUUGUAAAGCUCUUUCAGCUGGGAAGAUAAUGACGGUACCAGCAGAAGAAGCCCCGGCUAACUCCGUGCCAGCAGCCGCGGUAAUACGGAGGGGGCUAGCGUUGUUCGGAAUUACUGGGCGUAAAGCGCGCGUAGGCGGACCAGAAAGUUGGAGGUGAAAUCCCAGGGCUCAACCUUGGAACUGCCUUCAAAACUCCUGGUCUGGAGUUCGAGAGAGGUGAGUGGAAUUCCGAGUGUAGAGGUGAAAUUCGUAGAUAUUCGGAGGAACACCAGUGGCGAAGGCGGCUCACUGGCUCGAUACUGACGCUGAGGUGCGAAAGCGUGGGGAGCAAACAGGAUUAGAUACCCGGGUAGUCC